rnacentral:rRNA from 1 species
UACGAAGGGGGCUAGCGUUGCUCGGAAUCACUGGGCGUAAAGCGCACGUAGGCGGCUUUCUAAGUCAGGGGUGAAAUCCUGGAGCUCAACUCCAGAACUGCCUUUGAUACUGGAGAGCUUGAGUCCGGAAGAGGUGAGUGGAACUCCGAGUGUAGAGGUGAAAUUCGUAGAUAUCGGGAGGAACACCGGUGGCGAAGGCGGCAUCCUGGACCGGCAUUGACGCUGAGGCGCGGAAAGCCGGGGAGCAAAGCGGGGAUUAAGAAACCCCUGU